UACGUAGGGUGCGAGCGUUAAUCGGAAUUACUGGGCGUAAAGCGUGCGCAGGCGGUUUUGUAAGACAGAUGUGAAAUCCCCGGGCUUAACCUGGGAACUGCGUUGGAAGCUGAAAGACUAGAGUGCGGCAGAGGGGGGUAGAAUUCCACGUGUAGCAGUGAAAUGCGUAGAUAUGUGGAGGAAUACCGAUGGCGAAGGCAGCCCCCUGGGAUAACACUGACGCUCAUGUACGAAAGCGUGGGUAGCAAACAGG
rnacentral:rRNA from 1 species